GACGAACGCUGGCGGCGUGCUUAACACAUGCAAGUCGAACGGUGAACGAGGGAGCUUGCUCCCUCCGGAUCAGUGGCGAACGGGUGAGUAACACGUGAGCAAUCUGCCCCGAACUCUGGGAUAAGCGUUGGAAACGACGUCUAAUACCGGAUACGACGCGGGAGGGCAUCCUCUCCGCGUGGAAAGAACUUCGGUUCGGGAUGAGCUCGCGGCCUAUCAGCGUGUUGGUGAGGUAACGGCUCACCAAGGCGACGACGGGUAGCCGGCCUGAGAGGGUGACCGGCCACACUGGGACUGAGACACGGCCCAGACUCCUACGGGAGGCAGCAGUGGGGAAUAUUGCACAAUGGGCGCAAGCCUGAUGCAGCAACGCCGCGUGAGGGACGACGGCCUUCGGGUUGUAAACCUCUUUUAGCAGGGAAGAAGCGAAAGUGACGGUACCUGCAGAAAAAGCACCGGCUAACUACGUG
rnacentral:rRNA from 1 species